rnacentral:rRNA from 1 species
GUGAGGAAUAUUGGACAAUGGGCGCAAGCCUGAUCCAGCCAUGCCGCGUGCAGGAAGACGCAUCUAUGGUGUGUAAACUGCUUUUGUACGGGAAGAAACACUCCCUCGUGAGGGAGCUUGACGGUACCGUAAGAAUAAGGAUCGGCUAACUCCGUGCCAGCAGCCGCGGUAAUACGGAGGAUCCAAGCGUUAUCCGGAAUCAUUGGGUUUAAAGGGUCCGUAGGCGGUUUAAUAAGUCAGUGGUGAAAGCCCAUCGCUCAACGAUGGAACGGCCAUUGAUACUGUUAGACUUGAAUUACAAGGAAGUAACUAGAAUAUGUAGUGUAGCGGUGAAAUGCUUAGAUAUUACAUGGAAUACCAAUUGCGAAGGCAGGUUACUACUUGUGGAUUGACGCUGAUGGACGAAAGCGUGGGGAGCGAACAGGAUUAGAAACCCCUGUAGUCC